AUUAAUAACGUCAUCGAUUUAUUGUGUUCCUUGAAUGGUUGUGAUAAU
rnacentral:guide_RNA from 1 species